AACGUAGGUGGCGAGCGUUAUCCGGAUUUACUGGGCGUAAAGGGUGUGCAGGCGGGCGACCAAGUGGUGUAUGAAAUCUCCCAGCUAAACUGGGAUAGGUUAUGCCAGACUGGUGGUCUAGAGUGCGAGAGAGGGGCGUGGAAUUCCGGGUGUAGUGGUGAAAUGCGUAGAUAUCUGGAGGAACACCGGUGGCGAAGGCGGCAUCCUGGACCGAUAUUGACGCUGAUGCGCGAAAGCCAGGGGAGCAAACGGG
rnacentral:rRNA from 1 species